rnacentral:lncRNA from 1 species
GUUGGAUGCACUGCUCACAUUCUCUUUUCUCUGCAGGAGAAAUCAUUUGCAGAUGGGAUCUUUGUCGAUGCUUAACUCUGCCAACAUAGAGGAGAGAUACAGGUAAAGAUGACUUUAAGGCAUACGUAGGAGGCAGUAACAAAAUGAAUUGGCAAGUAACAGGAUCAGAAGUGGAAGACAUGAAUAAAGAAUGGCACCCAUAUGUGUGGAUAUAUGUGGCUUCAGCAAAUGAUUAAUUACAGGGAAACUGGGAUAUGCAUCUGGGAAAUCCAGAUUGGAUACAAGUUCUGUGUUGAUGAGCUCACUGUAUUCGUCCAGUCUUCUCCUGAAAUCUGUGAGCAUCCUUAUGAGAUUUUGUUUGAACUCUUUGUCAGAGAAAAUACAGAACUAUCAAGAACCUUGGGUGACAGAGCCACGGAGGGAUAGAAGCAUGGGACUUCUAAAACCCAAAUGACCAAGAGAAAAUCAUUCAACCUGAACCAUCACAGUCUCCUGAGUGGUUUGUUUCACGGGAUUUUUGGAAGAAUAACAUAAAUUAAUGCAUGUAUGGGAAAAUGCUUGCAACCAUUAAGGUAC